CAGCAGCCGCGGUAAUACGUAGGUGGCAAGCGUUGUCCGGAAUCAUUGGGCGUAAAGGGCUCGCAGGCGGUUUCUUAAGUCUGAUGUGAAAGCCCCCGGCUCAACCGGGGAGGGUCAUUGGAAACUGGGAAACUUGAGUGCAGAAGAGGAGAGUGGAAUUCCACGUAUAGCGGUGAAAUGCGUAGAGAUGUGGAGGAACACCAGUGGCGAAGGCGACUCUCUGAUCUGUAACUGACGCUGAGGAGCGAAAGCGUGGGGAGCGAACAGGAUUAGAUACCCCUGUAGUCCCUGUCUCUUAUAC
rnacentral:rRNA from 1 species